UAGACAUAUAGAGUCUGUCAAGAUCUCUGAACACACGCAGUGAAUCUCCCGUUUCCAGCUGAAAACAUUUGUUAACAUUCUUGAUCUCCAUCAAGACAGGCCGCAGAAAGUGCAUGUACAUGCUGUUUGAUUUGUCGCUGUACAUUUCGUUCAGAAUCCUGGCCGCAUAGCCGUGCUCUUCUUUGCCGGAAGCCAAACUGAAGUGUAGCGGGUAAAAGUUAGCAGCAGGUUGGAUAUUCGCCGGAUAUUCAGUUUUGCAAUCGGAUUCAUCGAGAAGCCCCUGACUGCAGCCCGCAGACGGAGCCCACAUGGAGGGGGCGGGCACUCAGUCCACAUGGAGGGGGCCGGCCCUCCGCCCACAUGGAGGGGGCGGGCACUCAGUCCACAUGGAGGGGGCCGGCACUCCGCCCACAUGGAGGGGGCGGAUACCGACUCGGAUCUCGGAUCUGACGCCACGCCCGUCCACAUCGAGGGGGCGGCCACUCAGUUCACAUUGAGGACUGGUCAAACAGCAUGUGCAGCAUCUGAUCCCGUUUCUGACCUGAAAUUACCUGAAAUUAGAGUGUGCCCGCCCGAGCUAGUGAUGCCUAAAACAUGCAAAGACACGUCAGUGUAAUUGUGAAUGGCGAGAGCCCUGAAAUACAGCUGGACAGCAGCGGUCUACAUCACUGCCCCUUCUGCAGAUACAAAGGGUCAAAAUGUGAUAUCGACCAUCACAUUAAAUGCCAUGCCUCGGUUAAAUACAGAGGUCUGCAGAGGAGCUUUCAGGAAGCAGGAAGAGAAGACGGGAGGAAAAAAAGCUACAGGAUAAAGAUCUCUGCACAAAAAGGGCUAGAGUUGCUCCAACAGCAUCCAGCUCUGAAGGAUCAGGUCAUGUAUAGACUGUUAAUCCAGGAAGAUUAUGUUGUCCUGAAGGACACAAUUCAGGCAGCAGCAUGGUGCCAGUUACAGUCCUUCAAGGACAGCGUUUCUCUCCCAGAGGUCAUUGGGAUGGAAGGUUGGGAGCAGAUGGCAGCAUCAACACAGCGCAAAUCCCAUGACGGCGGGGAUGAGGAAGAAACGUGGAAACCAUUCCAAUUCUCAUUCAGAUUACAUACUGACUAUGAACUGUUCUGUGUGGAGAUGAUGGACAGGAGAAACCUGAAGGUGUUUGCCUCUUUUGAGUCAAACACCUCUCCCCCUCCCCGUCCCCCUCCCCGUGACGCCUGCGCCACACGACUCCAAUGUAGUCUGAUGAUGCAGCAUAAUGGCGGCGCUUGGCAGCUAUGGCGGCGGUGACGGCGAUGUCGGGCGACAGAGCGUGAAGCAAGAGUGGCAUCCACCUCACUGAGGAAGGCGUCAGUGUGUUCCCCCUUUGUUGUUUGACUUUGUUUGUUCUACUCUUUAUUGAUUUAUCUUUUAUGUUAAUAGUUUACAAUCUAUUUUUUGUAGUUGUUAUUUUUUAAUUGUUUUGUUGAAUAAAAAGACAGUUGUUAGUGCUCCUGUGAUUGGUGUAACUUAAUGUGCUUCACACAUGUAGCUUUUCAUUAUGUCUAUUGAGGUACAUUUUUUGCCCUUAGAUGUGGUCACUUCGUUAUUCCUCACAUUACAUCUGUUAAGGUCAUACCUUUGGGUCCCAGUCUUCAUAGUUCCCCAAAUCUUAUUUUGGCUCUUACUGGGCCUGUAACUCACAGACAGACGGGUACAGGAGUUCGGACACGUUGCAUUGUUUACAGGCAAGGGUGGAUUACCGCACGGGCACACCGGGCACAUGCCCAGGGGCCCAAGGGCGGCCCUAAGCCAGAGCUUCUGUGUGAAGUCGCUGUUAGUAACUUUUAAUGUUGCAUUGUCAAAGCAAUCAGUAGAGAAAUACAAAAAUUCAAGCGAAAACGGCAAUAGUAGGGCUAUUAAUACUGAGUAAAAAAAAAAAAAAGAUCACUAGGGGGCACUGUUUCACUUAGUGAAUUUGAGACAGGUCACGAACAAGGCACUGUGAUUUAAACAUUGAGCAACGGCGAACGGUAGUAACGUGAACUCUUAAGUGGAACCUUAAUAGGUCCAUGAGUGGAACAGUUAAGCGAAAAAAAAAUAAACAAGAGAAUAUGUAUUUGCAAGUCGUUUAGGCUAUGCUUAACUUUAUAAUAGUUCCAUGGUACGCAGCAAGAAAGAUACCAAGUCACAAUACUCCCGUACCAUCUGUUUGUAUAGUUUAAUUAACAGCAUGGGCUCCCGCUAGCUUAACAUAGUAUUACCGUUUCUUGCAUUAACAAGAGCAGCAGAAAUCUGCUCAAUCGUCAGUGGUCGGAGUGCCCGCCCCCUCCAUGUGGACUGAGUGCCCGCCCCCUCCAUGUGGGCGGAGGGCCGGCCCCCUCCAUGUGGACUGAGUGCCCGCCCCCUCCAUGUGGGCUCCGUCUGCGGGCUGCAGUCAGGGGUACUUGGAUUCAUCCGGCUUAAUCAACACAAUUGCACUAUAUUACGGGUGUAGUAUGUUGAGGACAGUAUAGGACAGCUUAUCGACAAAGAAUCACACCGAAAUUAGUUGUUG
ensembl:lncRNA